UCCGAUAACGAACGAGACUCCGGCCUGCUAACUAGUGCGCCGAUGUGUGUGCGUUCUUCGCUACGGCGGGCUCGGGCCGCGCGUGUUCGUCGCGCGUCGCCUCGGUCGCGCGUCGGCGUUCGUUUUGCACUCGCUCGUCGGUCGGCUCCGCGGGGGUUCGCGCUCCCUCGGCGGUCGUCCCGGCGUCGGGGGGGCGGCGGGCGCGGGCGCCGUCGACGGCGCGCGGUCGUGCGCGCGGUUUCCGCCGGGUCCGGGUCGGUUUUCUCACGCACUUCUUAGAGGGACGGGUGGCAGAAAGCCACACGAGGCGGAGCGAUAACAGGUCUGUGAUGCCCUUAGAUGUCCGGGGCCGCACGCGCGCUACACUGGAGGUAUCAGCGGGGACUUCGCCCCGGCCCGAGAGGGCCGGGAAACCUCUCAACCACCUCCCGUGAUAGGGAUCGGGGCCUGUAACCAACCCCGUGAACGAGGAAUUCCCGGUAGGCGCGGGUCAACAGCCCGCGUCGAUCACGUCCCUGCCCUUUGUACACACCGCCCGUCGCUACUACCGAUCGAACGGUCCGGUGAGGUCCUCGGAUCUGGCCGACGACGCCGCCGGGCUGCCCGGCGGUUCGCCGCCCGCGUCGCCUCGGCGUUCGACGCCUGGAGAAGACGACCGAACCCGAUCGUUUAGAGGAAGUAAAAGUCGUAACAAGGUUUC
rnacentral:rRNA from 1 species